rnacentral:rRNA from 1 species
GUGAGGAAUUUUCCGCAAUGGGCGAAAGCCUGACGGAGCAAUGCCGCGUGAAGGAUGAAGGCCUAUGGGUUGUAAACUUCUUUUCUCAGAAAAGAAUUAUGACGGUAUCUGAGGAAUAAGCAUCGACUAACUCUGUGCCAGCAGCCGCGGUAAGACAGAGGAUGCAAGCGUUAUCCGGAAUGAUUGGGCGUAAAGCGUCUGUAGGUUGUUUAAAAAGUAUUCUGUCAAAGAUUAGGGCUUAACCCUAGAUAGGCAGAAUAAACUUUUAAGCUAGAGUUUGGUAGAGGCAGAGGGAAUUCCCGGUGGAGCGGUGAAAUGCGUAGAUAUCGGGAGGAACACCAAAGGCGAAGGCACUCUGCUGGGCCAAUACUAACACUGAGAGACGAAAGCGAGGGGAGCAAAUGGGAUUAGAUACCCCAGUAGUCC